rnacentral:rRNA from 1 species
UUCUACAGCCACACCACCUUGAAUGCACCUAAUCUCGUCUGAUCUUGGAAAAUAAGCUGGGUCAGGCCUGGUUAGUACUUGGAUGAGAGACCACCUGGGAGCACUGGGUGCUGUUGGCU